rnacentral:rRNA from 1 species
UACGAAGGGGGCUAGCGUUGUUCGGAAUUACUGGGCGUAAAGCGAGCGUAGGUUGCUCGACAAGUCAGUGGUGAAAGCCCAGAGCUCAACUCUGGAACUGCCAUUGAAACUGGAAAGCUAGAGUAGGGUAGAGGGGUGUGGAAUUCCAGGUGUAGCGGUGAAAUGCGUAGAUAUCUGGAGGAACAUCAGUGGCGAAGGCGACACCCUGGACUCAUACUGACACUGAGGUGCGAAAGCGUGGGGAGCAAACAGG